GACGAACGCUGGCGGCGUGCUUAACACAUGCAAGUCGAACGGAAAGGCCCUGCUUUUGUGGGGUGCUCGAGUGGCGAACGGGUGAGUAACACGUGAGUAACCUGCCCUUGACUUUGGGAUAACUUCAGGAAACUGGGGCUAAUACCGGAUAGGAGCUCCUGCUGCAUGGUGGGGGUUGGAAAGUUUCGGCGGUUGGGGAUGGACUCGCGGCUUAUCAGCUUGUUGGUGGGGUAGUGGCUUACCAAGGCUUUGACGGGUAGCCGGCCUGAGAGGGUGACCGGCCACAUUGGGACUGAGAUACGGCCCAGACUCCUACGGGAGGCAGCAGUGGGGAAUAUUGCACAAUGGGCGGAAGCCUGAUGCAGCAACGCCGCGUGCGGGAUAACGGCCUUCGGGUUGUAAACCGCUUUCGCCUGUGACGAAGCGUGAGUGACGGUAAUGGGUAAAGAAGCACCGGCGAACUACG
rnacentral:rRNA from 1 species